ACAGCAGUCGCCACGGUAAUACGAAGGGGGCUAGCGUUGCUCGGAAUUACUGGGCGUAAAGGGAGCGUAGGUGGACAGUUUAGUCAGAGGUGAAAGCCCAGGGCUCAACCUUGGAAUUGCCUUUGAUACUGGCUGUCUUGAGUACGGAAGAGGUAUGUGGAACUCCGAGUGUAGAGGUGAAAUUCGUAGAUAUUCGGAAGAACACCAGUGGCGAAGGCGACAUACUGGUCCGUUACUGACACUGAGGCUCGAAAGCGUGGGGAGCAAACAGGAUUAGAUACCCCUGUAGUCCCUGUCUCUUAUAC
rnacentral:rRNA from 1 species